rnacentral:lncRNA from 1 species
AAGAGAAGCAAAGAGAUACUUUAAAAUAUUUUGAGAAAAAAAUUCUCUCUAAAAUGAAGGCAGGCAGAGAUCUUAAGAUGAAAAAGAAACUUUACAAUGGGGAGAAGUAAAGAGAUUUUGUUUUGCUUGUGAAAGUGACAGAAAUUGACUUGAAAUAUCCACAGUGAAGUAUGUUACUUAAAGUUGACAUAAGAUCUUUCUUAGUAACUUUCAAAUUACCACAAGGAGAAGAGUGAGAUGAACUCAAAGAAAAUACAGGCCACAAAGCAAAGACAGGAAAAGAGAAAGCAUACUCACACGAAAGGGACAGUGGAACUGCCUAUAGUAAUAACACACGAUGGUACGUUGAUGGAGAUGAAGAAGAAAAAAGCACAAUAGGAAAAUGUGGAGCCAGGAGUGGUGAAGAAUCACACAGACCUACUUACAACUUCUGACUCUGACACCUUCCAACUUGGGCAAGCCAUUUUACCUCCUUGGGUCUCAGCCACUUUCUUUGUAAAAUGAGGGUAAUGGCACUUAGGGGAUUAUUAAAACGAUUACAUGAGAUAAUACGUGUGCCUAGAAGAUAGUAGCGAAUGUGAAGGAACAUCCUAAUUAUGUAUUGAGGAGGGUACUGCCUUGGAUAAAGGGUCAUCGAAAGCCAGACAGAAUACACCCAGCUAUCUUUGGUACCACAGUCUUCUUCAGGGUGCUCUUGUCCAUCCACAGUGCAU